rnacentral:rRNA from 1 species
AUUGAACGCUGGCGGCAGGCCUAACACAUGCAAGUCGAACGGUAACAGGAAGCCUCUUGCUGCUUCGCUGACGAGUGGCGGACGGGUGAGUAAUGUCUGGGAAGCUGCCUGCUGGAGGGGGAUAACUACUGGAAACGGUAGCUAAUACCUCAUAAUCUCGCAAGCCCAAAGUGGGUGACCUUCGGGCCUCUUGCCAUCGGAUGUCCCCAGAUGGGGUUGGCUUGUUGGUGGGGUAACGGCCCCCCAAGGCGGCGAUCCCUAGCUGGGCUGAGAGGUUGUCCAGGCACGGUGGGGGUGAGACGCGAUCCAGGCUCCGAGGGGAGGCAGCAGUGGGGAAGAUUGCACAAUGGGCGGAAGCCUGAAGCAGGCAUGCAGCGUGUAUGAAGAAGGCCUGCGGGUUGUAAAGUACUUUCAGCGGGGAGGAAGGGAGUAAAGUUAAUACAAGUGAUAAUGGACGUUACCCGAAGAAGAAGCACCGGCAAACUCCGU